UUAUCGGAGAGUUUGAUCCUGGCUCAGGACGAACGCUGGCGGCGUGCCUAAUACAUGCAAGUCGAGCGGACAGAUGGGAGCUUGCUCCCUGAUGUUAGCGGCGGACGGGUGAGUAACACGUGGGUAACCUGCCUGUAAGACUGGGAUAACUCCGGGAAACCGGGGCUAAUACCGGAUGGUUGUUUGAACCGCAUGGUUCAAACAUAAAAGGUGGCUUCGGCUACCACUUACAGAUGGACCCGCGGCGCAUUAGCUAGUUGGUGAGGUAACGGCUCACCAAGGCAACGAUGCGUAGCCGACCUGAGAGGGUGAUCGACCACACUGGGACUGAGACACGGUACCAGACUCCUACGGGAGGCAGCAGUAGGGAAUCUUCCGCAAUGGACGAAAGUCUGACGGAGCAACGCCGCGUGAGUGAUGAAGGUUUUCGGAUCGUAAAGCUCUGUUGUUAGGGAAGAACAAGUACCGUUCGAAUAGGGCGGUACCUUGACGGUACCUAACCAGAAAGCCACGGCUAACUACGUGCCAGCAGCCGCGGUAAUACGUAGGUGGCAAGCGUUGUCCGGAAUUAUUGGGCGUAAAGGGCUCGCAGGCGGUUUCUUAAGUCUGAUGUGAAAGCCCCCGGCUCAACCGGGGAGGGUCAUUGGAAACUGGGGAACUUGAGUGCAGAAGAGGAGAGUGGAAUUCCACGUGUAGCGGUGAAAUGCGUAGAGAUGUGGAGGAACACCAGUGGCGAAGGCGACUCUCUGGUCUGUAACUGACGCUGAGGAGCGAAAGCGUGGGGAGCGAACAGGAUUAGAUACCCUGGUAGUCCACGCCGUAAACGAUGAGUGCUAAGUGUUAGGGGGUUUCCGCCCCUUAGUGCUGCAGCUAACGCAUUAAGCACUCCGCCUGGGGAGUACGGUCGCAAGACUGAAACUCAAAGGAAUUGACGGGGGCCGCACAAGCGGUGGAGCAUGUGGUUUAAUUCGAAGCAACGCGAAGAACCUUACCAGGUCUUGACAUCCUCUGACAAUCCUAGAGAUAGGACGUCCCCUUCGGGGGCAGAGUGACAGGUGGUGCAUGGUUGUCGUCAGCUCGUGUCGUGAGAUGUUGGGUUAAGUCCCGCAACGAGCGCAACCCUUGAUCUUAGUUGCCAGCAUUCAGUUGGGCACUCUAAGGUGACUGCCGGUGACAAACCGGAGGAAGGUGGGGAUGACGUCAAAUCAUCAUGCCCCUUAUGACCUGGGCUACACACGUGCUACAAUGGACAGAACAAAGGGCAGCGAAACCGCGAGGUUAAGCCAAUCCCACAAAUCUGUUCUCAGUUCGGAUCGCAGUCUGCAACUCGACUGCGUGAAGCUGGAAUCGCUAGUAAUCGCGGAUCAGCAUGCCGCGGUGAAUACGUUCCCGGCCUUUGUACACACCGCCCGUCACACCACGAGAGUUUGUAACACCCGAAGUCGGUGAGGUAACCUUUUAGGAGCCAGCCGCCGAAGGUGGGACAGAUGAUUGGGGUGAAGUCGUAACAAGGUAGCCGUAUCGGAAGGUGCGGCUGGAUCACCUCCUUU
rnacentral:rRNA from 1 species